GACGAACGCUGGCGGCGUGCUUAACACAUGCAAGUCGAACGAAGUGGCGAAAGGGUGAGUAACGCGUAAUCAACCUGCCCUUCAGAGGGGGACAACAGUUGGAAACGACUGCUAAUACCGCAUACUGAAGGAGGGGAUGGCGUCGGAUUAGAUAGUUGGAGGGGUAACGGCCCACCAAGGCGAUGAUCAGUAGCCGGUCUGAGAGGAUGACCGGCCACAUGUGUACUUAGACACGGGCCAGACUCCUACGGGAGGCAGCAGUGGGGGAUCUUCCGCAAUGGACGAAAGUCUGACGGAGCAACGCCGCGUUAGUGAUGACGGCCUUCGGGUUGUAAAGCUCUGUUAAUCGGGACGCGGUACCGGAAUAGAAAGCCACGGCUAACUACGUGCCAGCCGCCGCGGUAAUAC
rnacentral:rRNA from 1 species